UACGUAGGGGGCAAGCGUUGUCCGGAUUUAUUGGGCGUAAAGAGCGUGUAGGCGGCUAGGUAGGUCCGUUGUGAAAACUCGAGGCUCAACCUCGAGACGCCGAUGGAAACCAUCUAGCUAGAGUCCGGAAGAGGAGAGUGGAAUUCCCGGUGUAGCGGUGAAAUGCGCAGAUAUCGGGAGGAACACCAAUGGCGAAGGCAGCUCGCUGGGACGUUACUGACGCUGAGGAGCGAAAGCGUGGGGAGCGAACAGG
rnacentral:rRNA from 1 species